rnacentral:rRNA from 1 species
AGCCUGCGGUUUAAUUGGACUCAACGCCGGACAUCUCACCAGCCCCGACAUCAGUAAUGACAGUCAUGUUGACGACAUCCGCUCGAGCUGAUGAGAGGAGGUGCAUGGCCGCCGUCAGCUCGUACCGUGAGGCAUCCUGUUAAGUCAGGCAACGAGCGAGAUCCACGUCCCUAAUUGCCAGCACCACCGCACGGUGGGUGGGUACAUUAGGGAGACUGCCAGUGCUAAGCUGGAGGAAGGAAUGGGCAACGGUAGGUCAGUAUGCCCCGAAUGUGCCGGGCAACACGCGGGCUACAAUGGUCAGGACAACGGGUUCCAACACUGAAAAGUGACGGUAAUCUCGCAAACCUGGUCGUAGUUCGGAUUGUGGGCUGAAACUCGCCCACAUGAAGCUGGAUUCGGUAGUAAUCGCGUGUCAGAAGCGCGCGGUGAAUACGUCCCUGCUCCUUGCACACACCGCCCGUCAAACCAUCCGAGUUGAGUCUAGAUGAGGACAUCCUGUUUGGGAUGUUCGAAUUUAGGUUCGGUAAGGAGGGUUAAGUCGUAACAAGGUAGCCG